AUUGAACGCUGGCGGCAUGCCUUACACAUGCAAGUCGAACGGUAACGGGCCUUCGGGUGCCGACGAGUGGCGAACGGGUGAGUAAUACAUCGGAACGUGCCCGAUCGUGGGGGAUAACGAGGCGAAAGCUUUGCUAAUACCGCAUACGAUCUACGGAUGAAAGCAGGGGACCGCAAGGCCUUGCGCGGACGGAGCGGCCGAUGGCAGAUUAGGUAGUUGGUGGGAUAAAAGCUUACCAAGCCGACGAUCUGUAGCUGGUCUGAGAGGAUGGUCAGCCACACUGGGACUGAGACACGGCGCCGACACCCACGGGAGGGACCAGUGGGGAAUUUUGGACAAUGGGCGCAAGACUGAUCCAGCGAUGCCGCGUGCAGGAUGAAGGCCUUCGGGUUGUGAACUGCUUUUGUACGGAACGAAAAGCCUUCUUUUAAUACAGGAGGGUCAUGACGGUACCGUAAGAAUAGGCACCGGCUAACUACGUG
rnacentral:rRNA from 1 species